CGGUGUUCCUGUCGGGCGGCCCUGAGCAAAGGAAGCUGGACAGAGGGGGCGGGCCUAGGAGAGCCGGACGAGGUGGGGCUGCGCCCAGGAAAGCCUUCUCCUUCAUUGCGGUAGUUCCAGGACGAUUUUGCCCACGUUCCUGUUACUCUCCAUGUAUGCAUGGGCCUCUUGAAUUGCAGCCACGGGGUAGACUCUGUCCAACACCGGGAGUAGACGUUGGGGGCUCUCCGUGGAGAAGUUGGGCAGGAUUUGUUUUGUGAAAGCCUCCACCAGCCUUUGCUUGUACUUAAGAUAAAAGGAGAUCAUCAGUCUAGACGGAGACUUCACCUUGCCGCUCCCCAUCCUGCUCAUUAUUAGCCUUUGUGCUCUCUGAAGUGUAGACGCCAUCUGAAAAUGCACAUAUGGGAUCUCAGCAGAGUGGUGAUGAGACUUCCUCGUUUAAAAAGUAGCUUUGAAAAUAGAGGUCCACUGACGUCAGUUCCUCCCAUCAGACCAUAGAGAAUCCAGCGACCGUCAAGAGCCAGGCAGCUGACGUUUUUCUCCCAGUAGGAUCCACCUAUGCAGUCUAGAAUAAGGUUGACUCCAGCACCUUUCACAUGAAACACAGAUUUGUAAAGCUCAUCAGACACAGAAGGCUUUGUGCAAAGUGAUUCCACGGUAUAUUUGUGAAUAUAUGGGUAUAUAUAUAGGUGCAAGUGGAAAUCUGUAGGUUGGAACUAGAAACACCGCUCAUAGAAACACUGUUGUAGGGCGCCUUGGGUGGCUCAGUUGGUUAAGCGACUGCCUUCGGCUCAGGUCAUGAUCCUGGAGU